UGAGAAUGCAGCAAGAAGGUGCCCUGUAUGAAGCAGAGGGCCCUCACCAGGCACCGAAUCCGGUGGCACCUUGAUGUUGAACUUCUCGGCCUUCAGAACUGAAGUUUUGUGGCCAUGGGGAUGCUGACAAAGAUUGCUUGGGAUGCACACAAGGCAGCGGCGAAGCCUGAGGGGUGCUGCCAGGCCGGGCUCUCCACUGGCCACGGCCUGACCGACUGCUAUUCCAGAGGCAUCACCCGUCAGGCCUCACCGGAAGGCUGCACAGCCGGUGCCACCUCAGAGAGUCUCUGGCAAGAGGUCAGCCUCCUCUGGCUGCUCCUGCCCUUUUGUGGAUCUGCUUUCCUAGUCCAGGUGCUCUGUUCGGAGGGCUCAGGGACCCUUAAGGGAAGACACCUUUCUUCACUCUGACUCAGUACUUUUACACUCUCAGCUUUUUCCCCUCUCACUACCCAACUCCCCAGCCCCUGGUCCACAACCCUUCAGGAAGCCUUUGGUUAGGGGCCCCCUCAAGAGUGAGAUGACCCCCACAUCUGUGCUGAUCCUCCUGACCCUGAACCGUAUGGGUGCAUUGUUCCAAGGGGAAAAUGAAGCAGGAGAGCUCAGCACUCCCUCCAGUGUUAGCCUCUUGCUUGUACUACUGCAGUGCGGGAUUAAAGUCUUCGCUAUU
rnacentral:lncRNA from 1 species